rnacentral:rRNA from 1 species
UGCAUGUCUAAGUAUAAGCAAUUAUACAGCGAAACUGCGAAUGGCUCAUUAUAUAAGUUAUCGUUUAUUUGAUAGUACCUUACUACUUGGAUAACCGUGGUAAUUCUAGAGCUAAUACAUGCUAAAAAUCCCGACUUCGGAAGGGAUGUAUUUAUUAGAUUAAAAACCAAUGCCCUUCGGGGCUCCUUGGUGAUUCAUGAUAACUCCUCGAAUCGCAUGGCCUUGUGCCGGCGAUGGUUCAUUCAAAUUUCUUCCCUAUCAACUUUCGAUGUUUGGGUAUUGGCCAAACAUGGUUGCAACGGGUAACGGAGGGUUAGGGCUCGACCCCGGAGAAGGAGCCUGAGAAACGGCUACUACAUCCAAGGAAGGCAGCAGGCGCGCAAAUUACCCAAUCCCGACACGGGGAGGUAGUGACAAUAAAUACUGAUACAGGGCUCUUUUGGGUCUUGUAAUUGGAAUGAGUACAAUUUAAAUCCCUUAACGAGGAACAAUUGGAGGGCAAGUCUGGUGCCAGCAGCCGCGGUAAUUCCAGCUCCAAUAGCGUAUAUUAAAGUUGUUGUGGUUAAAAAGCUCGUAGUUGAACCUUGGGCCUGGCUGGCCGGUCCGCCUCACCGCGUGUACUGGUCCGGCCGGGCCUUUCCCUCUGUGGAACCCCAUGCCCUUCACUGGGUGUGGCGGGGAAACAGGACUUUUACUUUGAAAAAAUUAGAGUGCUCCAGGCAGGCCUAUGCUCGAAUACAUUAGCAUGGAAUAAUAGAAUAGGACGUGUGGUUCUAUUUUGUUGGUUUCUAGGACCGCCGUAAUGAUUAAUAGGGACAGUCGGGGGCAUCAGUAUUCAAUUGUCAGAGGUGAAAUUCUUGGAUUUAUUGAAGACUAACUACUGCGAAAGCAUUUGCCAAGGAUGUUUUCAUUAAUCAGGAACGAAAGUUAGGGGAUCGAAGACGAUCAGAUACCGUCGUAGUCUUAACCAUAAACUAUGCCGACUAGGGAUCGGACGAUGUUAUUUUUUGACUCGUUCGGCACCUUACGAGAAAUCAAAGUGCUUGGGCUCCAGGGGGAGUAUGGUCGCAAGGCUGAAACUUAAAGAAAUGACGGA